rnacentral:rRNA from 1 species
GACGUAGGAUGCAAGCGUUGUCCGGAAUUAUUGGGCGUAAAGAGUUCGUAGGCGGUUAUCUAAGUCUGGUGUUAAAGCCCGAAGCUCAACUUCGGCAUGGCAUUGGAAACUGGGUAGCUAGAGUGUGGUAGAGGUAUCGGGAAUUCCUGGUGUAGCGGUGAAAUGCGUAGAUAUCAGGAGGAACACCGGCGGCGAAGGCGGUUCUCUGGGCAUUACCUGACGCUGAGGAGCGAAAGUGUGGGGAGCGAACAGG